rnacentral:rRNA from 1 species
UUGACCUCAAAUCAGGUAGGACUACCCGCUGAACUUAAGCAUAUCAAUAAGCGGAGGAAAAGAAACUAACAAGGAUUCCCCUAGUAACUGCGAGUGAAGCGGGAAGAGCUCAAAUUUGAAAUCUGGCGGUUCUUGACCGUCCGAGUUGUAAUCUAGAGAAGUGCUACCUGUGCUGGACCGUGUACAAGUCUCCUGGAAUGGAGCAUCACAGAGGGUGAGAAUCCCGUCUUUGACACGGACUGCCUGUACGUUGUGGUGCGCUCUCGAAGAGUCGAGUUGUUUGGGAAUGCAGCUCAAAAUGGGUGGUAAAUGCCAUCUAAAGCUAAAUAUUGGCGAGAGACCGAUAGCGAACAAGUACCGUGAGGGAAAGAUGAAAAGAACUUUGGAAAGAGAGUUAAACAGUACGUGAAAUUGCUGAAAGGGAA